rnacentral:rRNA from 1 species
AUUGAACGCUGGCGGAAUGCUUUACACAUGCAAGUCGAGCGGCAGCGCGGGGCAACCUGGCGGCUAGCGGCGAACGGGUGAGUAAUACAUCGGAACGUGCCCAAACGCGGGGGAUAGCCCGGCGAAAGCCGGAUUAAUACCGCAUACGAUCUACGGAUGAAAGCGGGGGAUCGCAAGACCUCGCGCGUUUGGAGCGGCCGAUGGCAGAUUAGGUAGUUGGUGGGGUAAAGGCUUACCAAGCCUACGAUCCGUAGCUGGUCUGAGAGGACGACCAGCCACACUGGGACUGAGACACGGCCCAGACUCCUACGGGAGGCAGCAGUGGGGAAUUUUGGACAAUGGGCGAAAGCCUGAUCCAGCCAUUCCGCGUGCAGGAUGAAGGCCCUCGGGUUGUAAACUGCUUUUGUACGGAACGAAAAGGUCCUGGUUAAUACCCGGGGCUCAUGACGGUACCGUAAGAAUAAGCACCGGCUAACUACGUGCCAGCCGCCGCGGUAA